UUUUAGCCCCGGUAGCAGCGAUAUCCUUUUUUCACGCUUUUUUGCGUGUAAAAAGAUAUAGCGAAUAACGGGAAUAGCU
rnacentral:sRNA from 1 species